UUUCUGAUAUGGAAUCAAGGAUAUGUCCAAUACCUCUUGUCUACUUAUCUCUAGUAUUACCUAGCUUGCGACAUCUCCUUCACUUUAAUAUGUUGAUAAGGAGUGAGGAUUGAGCUAUCUGGUUCCUCCUCCUUCAUCUCCUGAAUCUCUAGAGAAAUGGAGGACAAUCUACCACUCAAUAUCUAUGAGCAUCACGAAAUCGCCAAGAAAGCACUGCCAAAGGUGAUUUACGAUUACAUCAAUAGUGGAGCAGAGGAUGAGCACACCCUAAGAACUUGUUCGAUUAAUCCUACCAAGAAGGGGAUUGAGGGGGAUUGGAGGAGAAUUCCCUCCUUCAUGGGGAUGAAACGAACAAGGCCUGAGGGAGAAUAUUGCAUUAUAUGGAAGAAUAAGUUUAUGACCUCACGUUCUUGUGGAUGUCAGCAAGGUAGACAUGUCAACAAUCUUACUGGGAUACAACAUGCCUUCACCCAUAAUUGUCGCUCCAAUGUGGAGCCACAAAUUAGCACAUCCAGAAUGUCUUAAAACUAAACCUUCUUUCAAGUUUGAAAUUAGAGUGAUUUUAUGGUUUUUUAGAGGUACCACAAUUUUUUUCAGUGUAAGUAAUGAGAAGUAUCUUCUUAAGGAUGUCAAAUUGGUGAUUAUGAGAUUUAAGUUGUAAGCACUACAAUAUCUCUAUUAUCUCUUGGUUAAAUUCUUAUUUCA